AUUCUCACUUCGGCAGCAUAUAUACUAAAAUUGGAACAAUUCAGAGAAGCUUAGCAUGGCUUCUGUGCAAGGUUGACAUGCAAAUUCAUGAAGCAUUCCAUAUUUAA